rnacentral:rRNA from 1 species
UACGUAGGGUGCAAGCGUUGUCCGGAAUUAUUGGGCGUAAAGAGCUCGUAGGUGGUUUGUCGCGUUGUUCGUGAAAACUCACAGCUUAACUGUGGGCGUGCGGGCGAUACGGGCAGACUGGAGUACUGCAGGGGAGACUGGAAUUCCGUGGUGUAGCGGUGAAAUGCGCAGAUAUCGGGAGGAACACCAACGGCGGAAGGCAGCACUCUGGGCUGGAACUGACGCUGA